rnacentral:sRNA from 1 species
UUUAAGUUAGGGAUUGAAGCGGCAUCCUUUUUUUAUUUCAAAAAAAGAUACAGCUGAAAGCCCGACCGCAC